rnacentral:misc_RNA from 1 species
GAUGAAGAACGAAGCGAAAUGCGAUACGUAAUGUGAAUUGCAGAAUUCAGUGAAUCAUCGAGUCUUUGAACGCACAUUGCGCCCCCUGGUAUUCCGGGGGGCAUGCCUGUCCGAGCGUCAUUGCUGCCCUCAAGCCCGGCUUGUGUGUUGGGUCUCGUCCCCCUUCCCGGGGGGACGGGCCCGAAAGGCAGCGGCGGCACCGCGUCCGGUCCUCGAGCGUAUGGGGCUUUGUCACCCGCUCUGUAGGCCCGGCCGGCGCUUGCCGAUCAACCAAAACUUUUUUCCAGGUUGACCUCGGAUCAGGUAGGGAUACCCGCUGAACUUAAGCAUAUCAAUAAGCGGAGGA